rnacentral:rRNA from 1 species
UACGUAGGGGGCAAGCGUUGUCCGGAAUUACUGGGCGUAAAGCGCGUGUAGGCGGCUUGGCAAGUCGGAUGUGAAAGCCCAGGGCUCAACCCUGGAAGUGCACUCGAAACUGCCGAGCUGGAGUCCCGGAGAGGAAGGCGGAAUUCUCGGUGUAGAGGUGAAAUUCGUAGAUAUCGAGAGGAACACCUGUGGCGAAGGCGGCCUUCUGGACGGUGACUGACGCUGAGACGCGAAAGCGUGGGGAGCAAACAGG